rnacentral:tRNA from 1 species
AUUACGUCGCUAAGUGUGUGUACUGUCUGUGGUUGUAGUGUGAGGUGGACAGGUUUCGAAGUGUAUUGCGAA